rnacentral:rRNA from 1 species
UGGGGAAUAUUGCACAAUGGGCGCAAGCCUGAUGCAGCCAUGCCGCGUGUAUGAAGAAGGCCUUCGGGCUGUAAAGUACUUUCAGCGGGGAGGAAGGCGAUAAGGUUAAUAACCUUGUCGAUUGACGUUACCCGCAGAAGAAGCACCGGCUAACUCCGUGCCAGCAGCCGCGGUAAUACGGAGGGUGCAAGCGUUAAUCGGAAUUACUGGGCGUAAAGCGCACGCAGGCGGUCUGUCAAGUCGGAUGUGAAAUCCCCGGGCUCAACCUGGGAACUGCAUUCGAAACUGGCAGGCUAGAGUCUUGUAGAGGGGGGUAGAAUUCCAGGUGUAGCGGUGAAAUGCGUAGAGAUCUGGAGGAAUACCGGUGGCGAAGGCGGCCCCCUGGACAAAGACUGACGCUCAGGUGCGAAAGCGUGGGGAGCAAACA